UACGUAGGGGGCUAGCGUUGUCCGGAAUUACUGGGCGUAAAGAGCUCGUAGGUGGUUUGUCGCGUUGUCCGUGAAAACUCACAGCUUAACUGUGGGCGUGCGGGCGAUACGGGCAGACUGGAGUACUGCAGGGGAGACUGGAAUUCCUGGUGUAGCGGUGGAAUGCGCAGAUAUCAGGAGGAACACCGGUGGCGAAGGCGGGUCUCUGGGCAGUAACUGACGCUGAGGAGCGAAAGCGUGGGGAGCGAACAGG
rnacentral:rRNA from 1 species